rnacentral:rRNA from 1 species
GAUGAACGCUGGCGGCGUGCCUAAUACAUGCAAGUCGAGCGAAUGGAUUAAGAGCUUGCUCUUAUGAAGUUAGCGGCGGACGGGUGAGUAACACGUGGGUAACCUGCCCAUGAGACUGGGAUAACUCCGGGAAACCGGGGCAAAUACCGGAUAACAUUGUGAAACGCAUGGUUCGAAAUUGAAAGGCGGGUUCGGCUGUAACUUAGGGAUGGACCCGCGUCGCAUUAGCUAGUUGGUGAGGUAACGGCUAACCAAGGCAACGAUGCGCAGCCGACCUGAGAGGGUGAUCGGCCACACUGGGACUGAGACACGGCCCAGACUCCUACGGGAGGCAGCAGUAGGGAAUCUUCCGCAAUGGACGAAAGUCUGACGGAGCAACGCCGCGUGAGUGAUGAAGGCUUUCGGGUCGUAAAACUCUGUUGUUAGGGAAGAACAAGUGCUAGUUGAAUAAGCUGACACCUUGACGGUACCUAACCAGAAAGCCACGGCUAACUACGUGCCAGCCGCCGCUGUAA